CAGGGAAGAAAAAAAUGACGGUACCUGAGGAAUAAGCAUCGGCUAACUCCGUGCCAGCAGCCGCGGUAAUACGGAGGAUGCAAGCGUUAUCCGGAAUGAUUGGGCGUAAAGGGUCCGCAGGUGGCUAUGUAAGUCUGCUGUUAAAGAACGAGGCUUAACCUCAUCAGAGCAGUGGAAACUACACAGCUAGAGUGCGUUCGGGGUAGAGGGAAUUCCUGGUGUAGCGGUGAAAUGCGUAGAUAUCAGGAAGAACACCUGUGGCGAAAGCGCUCUACUAGGCCGCAUCUGACACUGAGGGACGAAAGCU
rnacentral:rRNA from 1 species